UAGAACAUAGUGUAAUGGUAGCACCAAGAAUUUUGAUUUCUUAAGUUUAGGUUCAAAUCCUAAGGUUCUAG
rnacentral:tRNA from 1 species